GUGCUCGUUUCAGCAGCACAUAUACUAAAAUUAGAACAAUACAGAGAAGAUUAGCACGGCCCCUGCACAAGAAUGACACACAAAUUUGUGAAGCGAUCCAUAUUUUU
ensembl:snRNA U6 U6 spliceosomal RNA